rnacentral:lncRNA from 1 species
ACCACUGGGCGUGUGCCGCCCCUGGGGGAGGUCACCUUCACGGCGUCGUGAGCAUGGGCGAUGGGAGGGGGCGCUGAGGCCUCGCCCUUGGGAAGCAGGAGCUGGGAGACAUUUAUGCAGUGUGUGAUUCUUUCUAAAACAACUCCCUGGAAGAGAGGACAUUUAAUUCAACAAUUUAUUGGCCACCUACUGUGCACCAGGCAGUGAACUUGGAACUGGGGCUACUGGGUUACAGCAGUGACCAAGACAGAGGUCCCUGUUCUUAAGGAGCAAGUGAGGGCAACAGAAAAGAGCAGAAGUCAGCUGUCAUGCGAGGGCACUCAAGCAGCCCUGUGGAAAGCUCUACGUGGUGAGAAACUGAAGCCUCCUGCCAACACCAACAAGGAACUGAGACCUACUUCCAACAGCCAUCUGAGUGAUCGAUCCAUCCUGGAAUCAGAUCCUCCAGCCCCAGUC